rnacentral:rRNA from 1 species
AACGAACGCUGGCGGCAUGCCUAACACAUGCAAGUCGAACGAAGUCUUCGGACUUAGUGGCGCACGGGUGCGUAACGCGUGGGAAUCUGCCCUUGGGUGCGGAAUAACUUCUCGAAAGGGAUGCUAAUACCGCAUAAUGUCGUAAGACCAAAGAUUUAUCGCCCAAGGAUGAGCCCGCGUAAGAUUAGCUAGUUGGUGGGGUAAAAGCCUACCAAGGCGACGAUCUUUAGCUGGUCUGAGAGGAUGAUCAGCCACACUGGGACUGAGACACGGCCCAGACUCCUACGGGAGGCAGCAGUGGGGAAUAUUGGACAAUGGGCGAAAGCCUGAUCCAGCAAUGCCGCGUGAGUGAUGAAGGCCCUAGGGUUGUAAAGCUCUUUUACCAGGGAUGAUAAUGACUGUACCUGGAGAAUAAGCCCCGGCUAACUUCGUGCCAGCAGCCGCGGUAAU